GCCGGGCGCAGUGGCGCACGCCUGUAGUCCCAGCUACUCGGGAGGCUGAGACAGGAGGAUGGCUUGAGUCCAGGAGUUCUGGGCUGUAGUGCGCUAUGCUGAUCAGGUGUCCGCCCUAAGUUCAGCAUCAAUAUGGUGACCUCCCGGGAGCGGGGGGCCACCAGGUUGCCUAAGGAAGGUUGAACCGGCCCAAGUCGGAAACGGAGCAGGUCAAAACUCCCGUGCUGAUGAGAACUUACCCAGACAUGAGUGUUGUCUCCUCCAGGAAGAGAAAUCCUGUUCUCACUUUUU
rfam:Mesocricetus auratus contig115195, whole genome shotgun sequence.